rnacentral:tRNA from 1 species
GUGGUUGUGGCUCAGUGGUAAAGUACCCGCCCAGCAUGCAUGAAGCACUGGGUUUGAUCCUCAGCACCACA